rnacentral:ribozyme from 1 species
AAAAAAAAAAAAAAAAAAAAAAAAAAAAAAAAAAAAAAAAAAAA